rnacentral:lncRNA from 1 species
CUUGGCUGGGCGUGGUGGUUCACGCCUAUAAUCCCAGCAUUUUGGGAGGCCAAGGCAGGCGGAUCACAAGAGAUGGUGUUUUGCUAAGUUGCCCACACUGAUCUCAAAAUCCUUUUGUUUUUGCUUUGGAAUGGUCUGGAACUCCUGAGCUCAAGUGAUCCUCCCACCUUGGCCUCCCAAAGGCCUGGGAUUACAGGUAUGAGCCACCGCACCAAGCCCAGGUUGAGCUUUUAAGGUAUUAAAGAUCCACUAGGUGAAAAAAAAGAGUGAAAGAUACAUAUGCCAUUUAAGGGAAGCACAGGAAAACUCCUAUUUUGUUUAUAUGUGAAUAGAGGCACAUAGAUGCCUAGAAAAGUGUCUGGGAGGGAAUGAAACCAGAUUGGCCACAAAAAUCACCUCUGGAAAAAGGAAAAGAAUGGGGACUUUCACUUUUUGCUUCAUAUGUUUCAUGUACCUUUUUUUUUUUUUUUUUUUUUUUGAGAUGGAGUUUCACUCUUAUUGCCCAGGCUGGGGUGCAGUGGUGCGAUCUCAGCUCACUGCAACCUCUGCCUCCUAGGUUCAAGCGAUUCUCCUGCCUCAGCCUCCCGAGUAGCUGGGAUUACAGGCAUGCGCCACCACGCCCGGCUAAUUUUUUGUGUUUUUAGUAGAGACGAGGUUUCUCCAUGUUGGUCAGGCUGGUCUCGAACUCCUGACAUCAGGUGAUCCGCCCACCUUGGCCUCCCAAAGUGCUGGGAUUACAGGCGUG